rnacentral:rRNA from 1 species
UACCGAGGGGGCAAGCGUUGUUCGGAAUUACUGGGCGUAAAGAGCGCGCAGGCGGUCGUGCAAGUCGCGUGUGAAAGCCCCCGGCUCAACUGGGGAGGGUCACGCGAUACUGCUCGACUCGAAGGCAGGAGAGGGAAGUGGAAUUCCCGGUGUAGUGGUGAAAUGCGUAGAUAUCGGGAGGAACACCAGUGGCGAAGGCGACUUCCUGGCCUGUUCUUGACGCUGAGGCGCGAAAGCUAGGGUAGCAAACGGG